AUGCUUGCUUCGGCAGCACAUACACUAAAAUUGGAAUGAUACAGAGAUUAGCAUGGCUCCUGAGCAAGGAUGAGAUGCAAAUUCAUGAAGUGUUCCAUAUUUUC